rnacentral:ncRNA from 3 species
AGUGAAGAUAGAGGUGCAAAUUUAAUCAGUACGUAUCAGGAAGGGUAUGAGCCCUUAUGAAUGAUGCGGAAAGGGAAAUUUGCCGAAGUGAACAUUACCUCAUAGUAAUGAUUGCUGGUUCUGCGUUGAAUAAACGUAGGAUUGUCAAGAUGUAGAUUCUUGGAGAGCUAUCUCACGG